rnacentral:rRNA from 1 species
GUGGAUUAGAUACCCUAGUAGUCCACGCCCUAAACGAUGCGAACUAGGUGUUGGGGAAGGAGACUUUCUUAGUACCGCAGCUAACGCGUGAAGUUCGCCGCCUGGGGAGUACGGUCGCAAGAUUAAAACUCAAAGGAAUUGACGGGGACCCGCACAAGCGGUGGAUGAUGUGGAUUAAUUCGAUGCAACGCGAAAAACCUUACCUACCCUUGACAUGCCAGGAAUCCUGCUGAGAGGUGGGAGUGCCCGAAAGGGAGCCUGGACACAGGUGCUGCAUGGCUGUCGUCAACU